AUCUUAUCCAGAGUGGUGGAGGGACUGGCCCUGUGAAACCCAGCAACCGAUUAAGUGGCUCAUUUUCCAUUUAGAAUACGGUGCUAAUUCCUGCAGCAAUUUUUUAUAUUUUGCUGAUAGAUAAGAG
rfam:Clostridium paraputrificum strain 373-A1 CP373A1_26, whole genome shotgun sequence.